UGUAAUAAGAAAUUGGACGCGGCUCGCACUCCCUACUUUUCUUUACUGUUCUUAUGGAGAUCCGCAAAUGGAUCUCGUUUUGUAGCCUUUCAUUUCCUUCUUUCUUUUUCUUUCCUUAUCUUUUCCCCUGCUUAUCUCUCUGUUUGAUUUUUUCUGAAUAGAAGAAAAAUUGCAGAGCUAAAGAUAUAGCUGCAAUCUUUCUAUCUUUAGCUCUGCAAUCUUUCUAGACUUUGCUGAGUUUGUUUGCCAAUCAGAUCGAGAAGCUCACUAGUUCAGUGGCUGUCUCUUUGCUUUUGGGAUUUUUUGUUUCAUGAUUAAAAAUAAGCAAUUCAAAUUCAGAGCUUAAAAAAUUUCUGACUUUACCUCAUUUCCUCAGCUAGCAACUGGAGCUUGGGCUUUCAUCUAGAUCUGUGGAGAGUUUUUCAUGCAGUCAAUGAAAUCUUUGAACAGAAAACAGUGAUUUAUGACUGGUGGGUCAUUUUGUUUUACUUCUCAUUUAGACUGAAUCUAUAUGUGCUCAUGUUCUUUUUAUUUUUAUUUUUUCUAUAAGUGGUAUUGUUGUUCAUAUCUGGGUUCUAUUGGAUCUGCUACAAGAUCUUUGGCUUAUUUUGAUGUCUUAAGCUUUGAUUUCUGUAAGUGGUGUUAUUGUUCAUAUCAGUCACCGACGCAUCAGAGUAUAUGGAACCAUCUCCUCAAUCCCUCUUCAAUUCAGCUGGAAUUCCUGUCUAUGAUCAGAAACAAUGAGGAGGAUUCCAAUUGAUGUUUGUUUGUUGCUUCCGGUGAUAUACACUUAUACAAAAACUGACAACAUUGAGAAGAUUUUCAUAUGGAGCAGAAGAGACUUGGACGUGUAGAAGUAGAAGUAGAAGUAGAAGUAGAAGUAGCAGUAGAAGUAGAGGUAGAAGUAAAAGUACUGAUGUGUUGUAAUUAGUAUGAAAGUUAGUGUUUGUAUUUCAGUGAAUUUGAAAUUGAAUAUCCGAUAAUUCAUUUC